GGCUCCAUGACCCAAUGGUGGGGCAGCGGAUUCCAAAUCCGAAGGUUGUGGGUUCAAGUCCCAUUGGGGUCA
rnacentral:tRNA from 1 species